GGCUUUGAAGCUGCAAGGCCAUUCAAUGCUAAUCAAGGUGACCAAUUGCAACAUUCACACCUGCCUCAAGCAGACAAGAGUUCUUUCUCCCAUCCCGGUACGCUUACAUUGUAGAAUUAAUGCAGUUUUACUCCACUUGGACUGCCAUAGCUCAAUGUUAAGUGGUCGUGGAAGUUGUAAUUUGGUGAGGCGACAGCACCCUUUGGCAAAGAAGGCUAAAGACUUUGAAAGACUACAACUCCCACGAUUCCAUAGCAGUUAAAGUCAUGGCUCCAAUGCUAUGUCAAACUGUAUUAGUAAUAUAGUGUAUAUCUACUCUUAGAAGGAAAUUGAUUGAAGUGAAGUCACACAAUACGUUGCCCUGCACAUCUAUUAUUAUUAUUAUUAUUAUUAUUAUUAUUAUUAUUAUUAAUAAUAAUAUUUAUUUAUUCUCCACUUUAUCUCUUCCGAAGGAGACUCAGAGUGGUUUAACAUAAAAGCAUUCGCAUACAAUUUGAAAUCUACAAAUAUGCAAACAUUAAAACAAAAUUAAAUAUAAAUAAUAUUUAAAAAUUCACAGGCUGGAGAAUUGAUACGGUUUGGCACACCACUUGAACUGCUAUGGCUGUGUUGUGGAAUAUUUCAUGUUGUUGUACAAAGGUUUCUGCUUUCUCUGCUAAUGAGGGCUGGUACCUCACCAAACUACAGCUCCCAGGAGUCAGUAGCACUGAGUCAUGGCAAGUAAAGUGAUGUCCAACUGCAUUCAUUCUACAGUAUGGAUGCACUCCUCCUGCCCUUGAAUAUGUGAAAGGGCAAAUGCCCAGCCAGGUGAAUGCACACACAAAGGGGACCUGCCACCAAAUUUGGCAACAUGGAACAGAUGAGGUGUGAAACACAUGAGCCUUUAUGUAUCAGCCGUCUCUCUCCUCCCUUUUUUGACCACCAUCCCCCAGCCAUCAGGAUAUGACACCCGCUGAGUACAAUAAAUCCUAUUAUUAGUCCCGACUGGAGGACUUUAAUCUCUUAGGAUCUGUUGAUGAGUGAUAAAUCAAUACUUGGGACUGGCUUUGAAUAGGACUGGGGAGGGGACUGGAGUUUGAAUCCCUACGCAGACAAGCAAGUCACAGGGUUGCUGUGAGUUUUCCGGGAUAAAUGGCCAUGCUCCAGAAGCAUUCUCUCCUGAAGUUUCACCAACAUCUAUGGCAGGCAUUCUCAGAAGUUGUGAGGUUUGUUAGAAACUAGGCAAAUGGGGUUUGCAUUUGGGGUCUACAAGGGAUCGCCUAAGUAAGUAUAACUUUAUUGACAAACAACUCAUCAAAACAAUCCUUUGCAUAAUGAGUAUGAAACACCAUUGUGGAAUCUGUGCUGCAACCUGUAUUCAUUCAGAUUCAUCACUGUGUGUAUAUCUGCCUUCACAUCACCCAUUAAUUUAUGAUGGCCUCAUAAAUUUCAUAGGAUUUUCUUUGGCAAGGAAUAAUCACAGGACUCUAUCAUUAGCAGUUUAAACAAACAAAUCAAACUGAAGACAUUGUAUAUCAAUCUACAUUCUAUUUAUUGCUGUCUUUGAGAUUUUUCAAUGCUUUUCAUUGCAUAGGUGUUGUAGAUCUGUGUUUUACACGAUUGCUUUAUACUUCUCUAAACAGUUUUGUUUACUGUUUAUAUGGUGAUUUGUAAGAGGUUUAAAUGAUGAAAGGCGGAUUAUAAAUCUAAUAAAUGAAUGCAGGUAUAUCUUGUUUAAUGGGGUAAUUCUCUUCCUGGGUGUUCUUCUUAGCAGAAAAUUUAUUAGCAGAAGAAGAAAUAACAUGGAAAGAAUAAGGAUACGCUCCUUUCGUAACAAAAAAAGAACAGCUCAGCAUGUUUCAUCAGACUUUUAUGCAGAACUAACAAUAUGCACAUGUGAAAUAAAAGAUCCAGGUCAGGCAAGCCUUGUGUAAGUAGGAACACACACAGAGAGAUACAUAUUUGAACCUUCUGGAGACUAUUGUACUUAGGAGCAUCUUCCAAAAUGUGUCCAGGGAUGACUUUUAUUUCUUGAAGCAGCCUCCACUUUUCUUAUGAUUUACAUUUUGGCACCCAGACUCUAAGACUGCAUCUGCACUGUAGAAUUAAUGCAGCUUGACAUCACUUUAACUGCCAUGGUUCCAAGAAAAAUACCAAGAAUAAAAUCAACUUCUGUGCGUGGCAUUCAUUGACCUUGCAAAGGCAUUUGACACAGUGCUCUCUGGACUAUCCUCCAAAAAACUGGGUGCAUUGACAAAUUUGUGAACAUCCUGUGGCUCCUCCGCAACAACAUGUCUUGGACAGCGAUAGUUCCCAAAGUGACCCAUACAAGGUGGAAUCAGGUGUCAAACAGAGAUGUGUUAUGGCCCCAACCUUAUUUUUCAUCUUCAUUGCUAUGAUACUUCAUCUUGUUGAUGGGAAGCUUCCCACCAGAGUGGAAAUCAUCUAUUGGACCGAUCGCAGGCUGUUUAACCUCAACAGACUGAAAGCCAAAACCAAGGUCACAACAACAUCUGUUAUAGAACUCCAAUAUGCAGAUGAUAACGUAGUCUCUGCACAUUCAGAAGAAGACCUACAAGCCAUUCUAAACACCUUUGCAGAAGCAUACGAGAAGCUCGGCCUCUUAUUGAACAUCGAGAAAACCAAAGUGCUUUUCCAGCAGGCACCAGCCUAGUCCUCUGCAAUGCCAGAAAUACAGCUGAAUGGUGUAAUGUUAGGAAAUGUGGACCAUUUCCGUUCCCUUGGCAGUCACCUCUUCACAAUAGUUAACAUGGACACUGAAAUACAACACCGUCUGAGCUCUGCGAGUGCAGCAUUCUUCCAAAUGAAGCAGAGAGUGUUUGAGGAUCGGGACAUCCGUAGGGAGACCAAGGUGCUUGUUUAUAAAACUAUUGUCCUCCCAACCCUAUUAUAUGCCUGCGAAAUGUGGACUGUCUACAGAUGUCAGACUCAACUCCUGGAACAAUUCUAUCAGCAUUGCCUCUGAAAAAUCUUGCAAAUCUCUUGGGAAGAGACAGGCAGACAAAUGCCAGCAUGCUAAAGAAGCAAAGGCCACUAGCAUUGAAGCGAUGUUUCUGUGCCAUCAACUCCACUGAACUGGCCACAUUGUCUGAAUGCCCGAUUACCAUCUCCCAAAGCAGUUACUAUACUCCCAACUCAAGAACAGAAAAUGAAAUGUUGGUGGACAGGAAAAGAGAUUUAAAGAUGGGUUUAAAGCUAACCUUAGAAAUGGUGGCAUAGACACCGAGAACUGGGAAGCCCUGGCCCUUGAGCGCUCUAGCUGGAGGUCAACUGUGACCAGCAGUGCUGUGGAAGAGGCACGAAUUGAAUAGAGGGCGAGAGGGAGAAACGAGGCAAGAGGAAGGUGCAUCAAGCCAGCCCUGACCAGGACUGCCUCCUACCUGGAAACAGAUGUCCUCACUGUGGAAGAACAUGCAGGUCAAGAAUAGAGCUCUACAGUCGCCUACAUAUCCACCGCCAAGACACUACACUUGGAAGGCCAUCAUAUUUGGACAACGAGGGAUCGCCUAAGUAAGUAAGUAACUGCCAUGGUCCAGUCCUAUGGAAUCCAGGGAGUUGGAGUUCUACAAGGUUCAUUCCAAAGAGACCUGGUACCUUAGCAAAUGACAGCUCCCAGGAUUCCAUAUAUGGAGCCAUUGGUUUCAAACUGUAUGAAUCCUACACACCCUUAGAUAUCUAGAGUAAAAGAAAAAAGAAUGGUAGGAUGAGCCAGUGAGGCAGGAUUAUCUUUUGCCCUCCUUUUUUCUGCAUUGUGCUCUUCAUGUACAUUCAUUAAUAGAUUCUGAAGGCAACUAUUGUUUAUCUUGCUAUUGUAAACUGACACUCAUAGCUACAAUUGAAUAAACUAGCAUACAAUCACAUUCCCCCAAUUUAAACCUUAUUAUAUUGUUCACUUCAAAUGUACUGCUGCAACACAACACUAUGUUUCCCCAGCACUCUUUCACCCUCUUCCCAAUGCUCAAAAACCUCUUCCAAUUAGACAAAGAAUAAGGAAAACUUUUGGGCACAUAAAAAUACUUUGUUAAAAAGAGGUACUUUGUCAGAGUCUGUAUAAUGGCUUUAAAGGUUCACAUGUGUGACCUAGUUCUAAUCUUCUUAGAACAACACUAUAAGCUAAAUCAGUGUUAUUGUUUCCAGUAUCACAGAUGGGAAGAGAGGCUAGGAGAGGGAUAUGCCUAAGACCCUUUAAUAUACAGGUGGCUGACUGCAAUGGGAGCCGUUUUUACCUCUGUAGCAGAAUCCUGCAUCUCUAUAUGUGAAUGUGAAUUGAAAAUUAUCAGAAAUCAAUUUCAUCUUCUGUGGUUUCAAACUGAUUUGAAACUGAUGGAUGCUUUAUACAGAUAAUAAAAGUGAAAAUUUGUUUGUGUGUAUGUGGCUGGGGUGUCCACUUACACAGAUUAAGCUCCCACUUACACAAACAACAACAUUUUUAUAUCCCGCCUCCAUCUCCCCACAGGGACUCGGGGCUGCUAACAUGGGGCCAAGCCAAAUAGACAUAAUAAAACAGAAUAAAAUACAUACAAAACAAAAUUAUAGCUCGCACUACUCCCACUACUCAGGAGACACCAAUGGCUCUCCCUACAGUGACAUUGCAGGUUAUAAUGAGCACCAAGGACAUGUCCAAGAGCCCUGCCAAUGUCCUCCACAAACACCAUACUGCCCACCAUCCAAGUAAAGGCUUUCAUACAGGGACAAUUUCCUUCUCGAUUUGAUGUGUUUCCUCUACUACAGACAUCCCAGUGUUCCUUUCUCUCUCCAUUGGUGUGGAAUUUGCAUGACUGCCUCUUCCAUAACCCUUCCUAUUCUUUUCUAUGGCACAUAGCAAAUAGAGGAAUUAAUCAGCAAAUGAACACACUAGAUAACUUUGGGGAGAAUUCACCAUGAUUUAUAGGAGUUGUAGGUACUGGGAUGUAUAGUUCAUCUGCAAUCUAAGAGCACUCUGAACUCCACCAAUGAUGGACCUGGAACUAACGUGGCACACAGAACCCCCUGACCAACAAAAAAUACUGGCACUUUUUGGAGGGAUUUAUAGGCAUUGUAGUUCACCUACAUCCAGAGCGCACUAUGAACCCAAACAAUGAUGGGACUGGACCAAACUUGGCAUGCAUACCCAAUAUGCUCAAAUUUGAAUAUUGUUGAGUUUUGAGGGGAAUUGGACUGGACAUUUUGGAGUUGUAGAUACUGGGAUUUAUAGUUCACCUACAAUCAAUAAGCACUCUGAGCUCCACCAAAAAUGGAAUUGGACCAAACUUGUCACACAGGGCUCCCAUGACCAGCAAAAAAUGCUGAAGGUCUUUGGGGAAAAUCUACCUUGAUUUGGGGGAGUUGUAGUUCACAUACAUCCAGAGAGGAUUGUGAACCCAAACACCGAUGGAUCUGGACCAGAGUUGGUACACAUACCUGAUAUGCUGAAAUUUGAUUACUUGAAGGAUUUGAGGGGAACUGACCUUCCUUUCUGGAGUUGUAGUUCACCCACAACCAGAGAAACUGACCUCCACCAGUGAUGGAUAAGAUGUGAGAUGUAAAGCAGUUCCCUAUUUUCCUGCAUUAAUGAAUGUGAAUUUCCUCCGAACCAUGUUUGAAUAAUGCAGCUGAAGCAAUGGAUUAUAAUCUACAAAAACCCAUGCUAUUAAUAAGCCUGUCAGUUUUAGUGAUUCUUUGUUGUUCUACUACGAGGUAAAUGAUAUUUUUCUCCUGAGUAUGCAUGCUAAAAAUUACAUUUUAGGCUAAUGUGUCCUAAUUUUUUUUUGUAAGAUGAAUCUUGGAUAAAGCUCCUGUUGAGAUGCUUAACUUGAAGGUGACUGAACACAUGUAAUGGAUUGUAUCCCUCCCCCCUCCCCAUUAUUUCACUUUAUUGCAAUGUUGCUGGUCCUAUGAUUUUUAAUUCUACAAACUAUCCAUAUACACAACGAUAAUGAUCUUGCAUUUUUAAUAAAACCUCUCAGACACACUGAAGCCAAAGCACUUUACAAAUUUUAUUAAAUCAUUGUACAAAGCCAUUAGCGGACAAAAACUGCAGCUUGCUCCUAUAGUUAAGAUCUCUCUUCCUUCCUUUCAAGUGAUUAAUGUGGCCCAGGUUGCCAUGGUUUAUUUAUGAAAAUCCUCGAAAGAAGAACCCAUACUAAGCAUUGGAAACUGCGCACUGAGUUACCCCCCAAAGAAUAAAACCAAGGGCAACAGAAAUUUCCGAAGAAGGUGGCAUUGGACUCAGUGAUGGUUUAUGUGAUAAUAGCUUCACUGUUAUGAGCCUGAGGGCAUUUAUAGUGUGUUCUGGUUCUUUUAUUAACCAACGUUUUAACAUGUAGAUUAGGAAAGUGCUAAAUCUGAAAUUUAAGGGAAACAGAUAUGAUGACCAAGCACUUCUAAAAAUAGAUCUAGCAUAAAUACCUAAUACGAAGUAGGCUGAUUUAACAUAUUUUGGCUGGGAUCUUUUUGAUGUCUUAUGAAUGUCUAUGUUCCCCAGUGAGGCAAGCUGGACAUUUUUAUGCAAUGUGAAUGUCUGCAUUCAGUUCAAGGUCAUGGAAAUAUAAAUGUGUACAUCUUGCCAUUGUGAAUGUUGAUGUGAAUUCUUGUCCGAUGCCUACAUGUCUGCCCCUGUUUGUUUGGAUUUAAGACUGGUAAGUGUGCAAAUGAGCACACCUACAGUCGACAGGAACUGGCAGGAAAAGCCAGGAUGCCCAGCCCUUACAAAAGGUUGCAAGCAGAAGCAUGGUCCUUGCAGUUCAAGGUUCAAAGUGAAAAAGUAAUCCUGAGCAGAGUCGAAGGACAAGAAGGGAGUUGUCAGAAAGAUCAGUCCGAACGUAUGUGGACAUUGAAUUACUGGGCUUGGUCCCCAUGUAAGCUGGCCCGAGUCUCUUCAGGAGAUGGGGUGGAAUAUAAGAAUAAAGGUAUUAAAGUUAUUAUUAUUGUGUGUGGAAAGUCAAAAAUUAAUGAAGGGAAAAUUUUAAAAAAUUGUGUCAGAAGCGACUUGAGAACAUACUGCAAAUCACUUCUGUGUGAGAGAAUUGGCCGUCUACAGAGACAUUGCCCGGGGGACAUCCGGAUGUGUUAGUUGGGAGGAUUCUCUCAUGCUAGAGCUGACAGAUGGGAGCUCACUCCAUCUCACAGAUUUGAACUGGCAACCUUCAGGUCAGCAACCCAACCUUCAGGUCAGCAGUUCAUCUGGCACAAGGGUUUAACCCAUUGCGCCACUGUGGCGCCUAAGGGAGAAUUGAAAGACAGGAAUGCAUGGGAUUUUGGAUCUGUUGUCUACAGCAAUAAAACGGCUUCCAUCAAUCAAUUCUUCUUUAUUUAUAUUCCAUCUUUCUUUCAUAAUGGGAACUUUAAAGUGUUUUACAAAAUGGCCGAAAAUACAACAAAACAUUCAGGAGUACUUCAACUGUGCAUUCCUGUAUGGGUUGGACAAGAUGGCAUGAUUUCCACAAGCUAGAUGGCUAGACCAGUACCAACUGCUGAAAUAGCAUAACAUCACAUGACAUUCAGCAUUGCAAAAAAUAUUAACACAUGGAGAUUAACAAGCUCCAUGCAGAGUAGCAAAAUGGUGCAAUAUAUAUCAAUGACUAGGUAUCUUUGGCCAAUGCACAAUGCACAAAACAUAAGUCACCACCACAAUGCAUAAUAUGCAAUGCAGAACUGCAGUGCACAGUGCACAACCACAAACCUCAAUGCAUAAUAUGGAAUGCACAAUUGCCAUUUACAAUGCCAAGUCAUAGAAAAACACAGUACCUGAUUCACUAGGUAGGUGCCAGGCUGCUGUUAGGGAUGGUGCAGAGUCAUCUCAACAUGUGUCAGUCCACUUCAUGAUGCUUCCUCCCUGGCCACCUCUUGCAGUGGAGAACUAUUGAUCUUUUGGACUUCAGCCAGUGAAUGGAUUUAAAACUGCACAUGUUGUGUCCAUUGGCUGGAAGGCAACCCACUCACUUGGCUAGAGUGACCCAGAUAUGGUCUCCACUCUGAUCAAGUGACUCACCAUUUAAUUUCACACCAGAUUGAACUCCAGAAAGAAAUUCAGUUCAUUCUGAGCUUCAUCCCAUCCACACUCCCUAUGUCUUGUAAUGUAUUUUACAUAUUGUUAACUGCUGGUGGCGGUUUGUAUAGGUCAUGGAUCCAACAUUUGGUGACCAAUGUACUACAGGCAUUGGUUGGGUAGAUGAUUGCAUCAGGGGAGUUCGGGGACUGUAGUCCAGAGAAGGGGGGCAAAUGUUUGCCAGACAUGAUUGGCAGUUGAGAGACCAAGGUUAGGGUGACCCAGUGGUUACCUCUCAUCAGGGCCAUAGCCAGAAAAAAAAUUCGGAGGGGGUUUUGAACAUUUUGCCCCCCGCCCUCCCCCGACUACAAACCUGUCAAUAUCUGCUUGAGAUAGUGCCUUGAGGGAUCUGGCAUCAGGGCAGAUUUGUGGGCUCAUUAACAAGCAUGCUGGCCUAUACCUCCAUCCAGACCCGUGUGUGGGCCAACCCUUAUCAACAGCUGCAACCAAAUAAAAUUGUGACUUUUUUACUCCAAGCUAGGGCAUCUACUUUGGUCAUUGGAGCAGCAUGAGCAGCAGGCUAUCAGCAAAAUAAGCUCAUGGCACAAGGGUGACUUUUUUGGUCCCAUGUGCAUAGAACAACGUGCACAUUUCCAGAAUGAUUUAUGAAUUGGUUUAUUCCUAAUUGGAUGGUGACAGCGGUACAAUUUGCUGCUACACAAUGAAGAGUGAACACAUGAUAACCAGCUACAUUCACUAGUUGAACUGUACGCCACACAUGAAAUUCAGUUUGGACCUUGCCUCAGCAAUUCAGAAAACAUCCUGAUUCAGCUUAGAAUACUUCAAAGGCUGCUCAGUCAGAUUCAGAUUUGCACCAGAAAGUUGCUUCAGGAAAUCUAGAGUUGUGAUUCCCUGUUGACUAUAACGGGGAAAUAAAAACAAAUAGCUAGGUUCAUCUGCUGUUUUUGAGCACCUAAAGGAGUAAUGGCCCUUUGUGAAUGAGUCCAAUCUUCCAAAUUCCAGGCUAUCUCUAUUUAUUUAUUUAUCUAUCAUCUAUCUAACAAUCUGUUUCCAAGUUAUUUGUAUCUGCUAUGAUUUGUCUUUUGAAAGCAUAGUUGUCCUUUUAUCGGAGACAAAAUUGUCAAAUUUCAAAUACACGUACAGAUAUUUGGUACAAGACUGGGAGAGUUUUAAAAAGAUUUGUGUAUGCCCCUGUGUUUUAGUUGGCCAUGUGAAGGAAAACUUCAACAUUUAGGAAGUAUCAGCUUUUUAAAAUUUUUUCCGCAACUUUAAAGCCGAUAUGGGAAUGGAACUAAACAGUAUUGGCUUUCUCUCCAUUUGUAGUUUAAUGGGCACAUUGGUAAGAGUACACCACAGAGCUGCCCCUGAAUAACUAACCUGUAAAAUUUGAGACGGAGACAGGCAGAAGUUAAGGAGUUGUGACGAAUGAAGAACAGUUACAGGAAGGAUGAUUGUUUUGUUUUCUACACAGUUGACUUCACUAGAGUAAAGGAAACUAUAUACUUAAUGGAAUAGAAGGUAUUUUUAUUUGGUCCUGAGGGUAUGAUUAAAGCAACACAUAUGCAGGUUUUAUUUACUUUUUAACUAAAUAAAAAUAGAUUUUUUAAAAAAUAAACUUUUAUUUAAAAUGUGAAAAUUAAUGUUUUAUAUUUUUAAAUAAAUUCAUAGGGCCAAAAUUAACUAACAUAUGAUAAAUCAACAAAGCUUGUUAAACAUAAUUCAGACAAAACAAAUUUAGAACAUGUGAAGUGGAUGAAAGACUUAAGAACAUACUGAUGAUCAAUCUAUUUGCCCCCAAGGAACUGGGAAGGCUUCUGUUUGAUGCUUUGAUGUUUUGUUUUUGUCCAAUAUAACAGGUUGCAUUUUUUAAAAUUUUAGUUGUUAAGUCAUAAUUUGUUUUUAUAAGUUGGGUUGUCAAUUUUCGUUAUUAUGGAUGUAUUGUUGUUGUGUUCAGGCACUGAAUGUUUGCCUUUUAUGUAUGGAAUCUGCCCUGAGUCCCUCCGGGGAGAUAGGGUGGAAUAUAAAUAAAGUUCAUUAUUGUUGUU